rnacentral:rRNA from 1 species
AUUGAACGCUGGCGGAAUGCUUUACACAUGCAAGUCGAACGGCAGCACGGACUUCGGUCUGGUGGCGAGUGGCGAACGGGUGAGUAAUGUAUCGGAACGUGCCCAGUCGUGGGGGAUAACGUAGUGAAAAUUACGCUAAUACCGCAUACGAUCUAUGGAUGAAAGCGGGGGAUCGCAAGACCUCGCGCGAUUGGAGCGGCCGAUAUCAGAUUAGGUAGUUGGUGGGGUAAAGGCCCACCAAGCCAACGAUCUGUAGCUGGUCUGAGAGGACGACCAGCCACACUGGAAAUGAGACACGGUCCAGACUCCUACGGGAGGCAGCAGUGGGGAAUUUUGGACAAUGGGCGAAAGGCUGAUCCAGCCAUUCCGCGUGCAGGAUGAAGGCCCUCGGGUUGUAAACUGCUUUUGUACAGAACGAAAAGGUUUCUACUAAUACUAGGAGCUCAUGACGGUACUGUAAGAAUAAGCACCGGCUAACUACGUGCCAGCAGCCGCCGUAA